rnacentral:rRNA from 1 species
UCGAGGAUCUUCGGCAAUGGGCGCAAGCCUGACCGAGCGACGCCGCGUGUGCGAUGAAGGCCUUCGGGUUGUAAAGCACUGUCGAGGGGGAGGAAAGCCCGCAAGGGUCUGACCUAUCUCUGGAGGAAGCACGGGCUAAGUUCGUGCCAGCAGCCGCGGUAAGACGAACCGUGCGAACGUUGUUCGGAUUCACUGGGCUUAAAGGGCGCGUAGGCGGGUUCUCAAGUCCGGGGUGAAAUCCUCUCGCUUAACGAGAGAACUGCCCCGGAUACUGGGGACCUCGAGGGAGGUAGGGGCAUGUGGAACUUCCGGUGGAGCGGUGAAAUGCGUAGAUAUCGGAAGGAACGCCGGUGGCGAAAGCGACGUGCUGGACCUCUUCUGACGCUGAGGCGCGAAAGCCAGGGGAGCAAACGG